GACGAACGCUGGCGGCGUGCUUAACACAUGCCAGUCGAACGGAAAGGCCCUGCUUUUGUGGGGUGCUCGAGUGGCGAACGGGUGAGUAACACGUGAGUAACCUGCCCUUGACUUUGGGAUAACUUCAGGAAACUGGGGCUAAUACCGGAUAGGAGCUCCUGCUGCAUGGUGGGGGUUGGAAAGUUUCGGCGGUUGGGGAUGGACUCGCGGCUUAUCAGCUUGUUAGUGGGGUAGUGGCUUACCAAGGCUUUGACGGGUAGCCGGCCUGAGAGGGUGACCGGCCACAUUGGGACUGAGAUACGGCCCAGACUCCUACGGGAGGCAGCAGUGGGGAAUAUUGCACAAUGGGCGGAAGCCUGAUGCAGCAACGCCGCGUGCGGGAUGACGGCCUUCGGGUUGUAAACCGCUUUCGCCUGUGACGAAGCGUGAGUGACGGUAAUGGGUAAAGAAGCACCGGCUAACUACGUG
rnacentral:rRNA from 1 species